ACCUGGGUGGCUCAGUCGGUUGAGCGUCUGACUUCGGCUCAGGUCAUGAUCUUGCGCUCUGUGAGUUUGAGUCCCGCCUUGGGCU
rnacentral:tRNA from 1 species